rnacentral:rRNA from 1 species
GUGGGGAAUCUUCCGCAAUGGACGAAAGUCUGACGGAGCAACGCCGCGUGAGUGAAGAAGGUUUUCGGAUCGUAAAGCUCUUUCGUUAGGGACGAACGUGCUCUUUGUGAAUAAUGAGGAGUAAUGACGGUACCUAAAUAAGAAGCCACGGCUAACUACGUGCCAGCAGCCGCGGUAAUACGUAGGUGGCAAGCGUUGUCCGGCAUUAUUGGGCGUAAAGCGCGCGCAGGCGGGAUAUCAAGUCUGUCUUAAAAGUGCGAGGCUCAACCUCGUGAGGGGACAGAAACUGGUAUUCUUGAGUGUCGGAGAGGAAAGUGGAAUUCCAAGUGUAGCGGUGAAAUGCGUAGAGAUUUGGAAGAACACCAGUGGCGAAGGCGACUUUCUGGACGAUGUCUGACGCUGAGGCGCGAAAGCUAGGGGAGCGAACGGGAUUAGAUACCCGGGUAGUCC